rnacentral:rRNA from 1 species
CCUACGGGAGGCAGCAGUGGGGAAUUUUGGACAAUGGGGGCAACCCUGAUCCAGCCAUUCCGCGUGAGUGAAGAAGGCCUUCGGGUUGUAAAGCUCUUUCGCAAGGGAAGAAACGUUACGAGCGAAUAACUCGUGAUAAUGACGGUACCUUGAUAAGAAGCACCGGCUAACUACGUGCCAGCAGCCGCGGUAAUACGUAGGGUGCAAGCGUUAAUCGGAAUUACUGGGCGUAAAGCGUGCGCAGGCGGUUUUGUAAGUCAGAUGUGAAAUCCCCGAGCUCAACUUGGGAACUGCGUUUGAAACUACAAGGCUAGAAUAUGUCAGAGGGGGGUAGAAUUCCACGUGUAGCAGUGAAAUGCGUAGAGAUGUGGAGGAAUACCAAUGGCGAAGGCAGCCCCCCUGGGAUAAUAUUGACGCUCAUGCACGAAAGCGUGGGGAGCAAACAGGAUUAGAUACCCUGGUAGUCCACGCCCUAAACGAUGUCUACUAGUUGUUGGUGGAGUAAAAUCCAUGAGUAACGCAGCUAACGCGUGAAGUAGACCGCCUGGGGAGUACGGUCGCAAGAUUAAAACUCAAAGGAAUUGACGG